rnacentral:rRNA from 1 species
UACGUAGGGUGCGAGCGUUGUCCGGAAUUAUUGGGCGUAAAGGGCUCGUAGGCGGUUUGUCGCGUCGGGAGUGAAAAUCCAGGGCUUAACUCUGGACUGGCUUCCGAUACGGGCAGACUAGAGGUAUGCAGGGGAGAACGGAAUUCCUGGUGUAGCGGUGAAAUGCGCAGAUAUCAGGAGGAACACCGGUGGCGAAGGCGGUUCUCUGGGCAUUACCUGACGCUGAGGAGCGAAAGUGUGGGGAGCGAACAGGAUUAGAAACCCAGUAGUCC